rnacentral:piRNA from 1 species
AAAGUGAAAGAGACUGUGUCAAGAGCU